GGCUGCUCACGCAAACCACUCCUCCCCCUUUGCUCCGGCUGUGCCACCGCUGCCGCUUUAUUAAUUUAUUUGUGCUGCGAGCGAUGGUCCUCCAGAAGUGAUAAUUGGUGCACUGUAUCUUUAAAAGGUGCUAAUGAAAGAAUGCAAAUAGCACCGCCUGAGCCGAACAUCUCAUAAAGACGGGAGCAGCGCGGAGCGCGGAUCGCUGCCGGCCCCCACCCCAGCCCGGCAGAAGAUCCCCCCGGAGUCCCAGGGUCUGCAGAGGCAAUGGCAGAGCCGCGGCUGCAGGGCGGGGGGCGAGCGCAGACCAUUUCUACUCCUUACCAAGACCAUUUUGAAUCCUAAUCCUGGCUUCCGAAGUACUUGCAGCCCGUCCCAGCCUGGUAUCAGCCGCACUUUUAGUAAGCAUACCAUGUUCCGUCAUUGCAACCCAUUCUGAUAACAAUGAAUUGUGCUGGACAGUCCCCAGGACACCCAUGUCCAGCACUGUGCGUGCCCCGUAAGAGGUACAAAAAACAACGAGGCUCCAUGGGAUGAUGAGAUUUGUGUCCCAAUGUGAGAGAUGUUAUCAGCCCCUUUGAAGUUUUGUCAUGAGAAAUAUGUUGAUUUCCCAUGCGAUGCUUGAACAGUGUGGGUUUUGUGCAGGGCUGGGAGGCUGAAAGAGCAGAAGAUCUGAGCUGUCACAAAAUCAGCACGUUGGCUUUCUCCUGAGCGUUUGUUGCAUUUAUUUUCUCCUGCCUUCUUCAUGGAAAACCCACCUUCUGUUCACUCCCCUUUUUGUGCAGCAGUUGGUGGUUAAAGAGCCACAGUGUUGGUGGUGGCGAAUGUGUUCAAGAGACGUUUCUGUGUUGUUCUGAGGGACGUGGCUUAGUGGGAAACAUUGGAUGGUUGGGUGAUCUUAGAGGUCUUUUCCAACCUUGGUGAUUCUGUGAUUCUAUGAAGGGCGAUAGUCCAGGAUUCAUGGAUUUCCAUGGAGACUCAUGAAUGGAGCUUUAUAUACCAACAUUGCACUAUAACAGAAAGGGACAGAGCCAGAUGGUGCCACAGAGACCAAAAAGAGAACGCACAGCCACUGUGUAUGUCCCUGUAGCAGUUAGCAUUCAACAAAUCAGAAAUUAAAACAGAAACAGUGGAGGGAGCCCAAAGGUGAUCAGCAGCAAUGAGCUCAGACAAGAGGCAGUGUCUUGUUUCCUUGCAAGGGAAGAGCAUAAAGCUGGGUUUUGCUGAUAGCUGCACCUCAGUGUAUGUGUUUGUCAGAGCAGCUCUUGGUUUCAUACUUCAUCUCCUCUUUGACAUCUGCUGUUUCUGGGAAUUUAAGUUGGAACAGCUCGUGUCUUUCAUCUCUGACUUCACAGAUGUGAUGUGAAUGAGGAUUUCCUGCCCCUCUGUCAUUGGCUCAGAAAUACCACUUGCAUGCUGCAAAGAGGGAAACUGAGGCACAGAAGGGCAGCACUUGCAUUAAGCUCAUAGAGUGAGCUUGGAUGAGAAAUGCUGAUUUCUCCUCCCCUCCUCUGUGAUCUCUGUCUUACCCAAAGUUAUGAGAACUUGAGAAGAAAUGGAGCUCUGUGAACACAGACUUGCAGUGUGGUGUUUUCAAGGACACUAACUACAUAAAACUGAUUUACUAUGGGAGAAGAAGCCUUAAAUAUCCCCGUAGAGAGGACAUAAUGUGAAUGAUUUUGUGUUUAUUCAUUGCAUUUCACUGAGUGGAUGAAAUCUCUCCUGACUGUAAUUGAAUUAUGUGUGGAUGUGCUAUCUAGCAUGGUGGUGUUAAGAGCAGGUGCACAAAGGGAUUUCUUUCUGGGGAGGGGAAAAACUGCUUACUGUAGCAGUCAGUGAUUCCUACCACUGCAGUAACCCUAAUCAGAUUAAUUAUGGUUCAUUUAUCUGUCUGGCUUUUAUUUAUAAAAGCAACAUGUCUAAAGAGUUCUGUUCAAAACCUCGAAGAGUUUUGGUAAUAUUUUAGGUUUCUUUCACAUGCUGCAAUGUAUCAGUGUGUGGCUGGCCGGGCUUUGAGGGAGAUGACGUUGCUUCCAGCACUUAGACCCAGCCACUGGUUCUCCAUCUCCUCUUACAUCCAUCUCUUGUCACCAUCCCCAUCCUGCCCAUCCAGAGGUGGCCCCACUACCCCCAUGCGAUGUCCUCACCCAAAAUUCCUCUCUCUUUCUGCUCCUUUUUUUAACACUGAUACCAAAUCUCCCCCUUUGGCAGCAGCCUGGUUCUGCCUUUCAUCUCCUGGUAGGACCCAGACCGCUGUCUGUGUUGCAUCCUUGCCCCAUCUCACACACAGCUUUUUCUUUCUGUAAUUUUCCACUGGUGUGUCUCACCCCAAAUCAUAGCUGUUCUCACUUGCAUAAGCCACUUGCUUUUCCUGUCUCUCUCUCCUUUUUUUUUUUUUUUUAAUGCUUCUUUCUUUUGCUAUUUUCCAUUUCUGAAGAGCUGUUUAGUUUUUCACAAAACCAAACUGUAGGGCAUUGCAUAUGUGCUUGCCCACAUGUAUCUGCUUAGAGCAAAAGUUGCAGAACAGUAUCAAACAAAUGAGGCACUUUUCCAUCAGAUCCAUCCCUCUUGUUUUCCAUCUUUAUCUAUUCACCGCUCAAAAGCAAACUUUUCCAUCAAAAUAUCAGGAUGACUUUGGGUUUCUAUAAGCCUGAACACGAGACCAUUUUCCCCACCCUGCUAGGAUGCUCUGCCCCUCUGUCAGUUAAAUGGGAAGGUUUCAACACCCAUUUUCCCUUUCAUUUUAAUUCAGCUCUUCUUUUCUCACUUGGCUUCACAGCCAACCUGUUGUUUUUGAGGUGUAUCCUCGGUGUUUCGUCCAGCUGGGAUCCAACAGUGUCUCCAGUGAUGAAUUUUCCAUUUCUCAUGGAAAGGCAAAGAGCACGAGGAGGCGCACAGCAGACAGGGAUUUGGCUUUGGCAGAGAUCUGAUGAUCCAUGGUGGGCUUUGGUAGACAGCUGAGUAAGGAUGCCCUCGUCUCCCUGUGCCAGGAGCCAGCUGCAGCCUGCACCAUCCACGCCAGGGGUGCACGUGUGUUGUAUUUUCAGUUCUUCCUGGCGCAUGCAGUGAAGUGCCUCUGCACAGCAACGUGUGUCACCUUUGUGUCAGCCUUCCCCAAAACACGGAGGCGAUGUUUUUAACCAGGUAAUAACACUCUAUUUUAAGCUGCUUCUAAAAAUAAAGUCCCACACAAGCUGGCAUUCUGACAGCAGAGUUUUAUAGUUUAAUUGUGGCUGUUUUCUUAGGGUGAUUCAUAGAAAGAAGAUGAGCUUUACUAGUUUUACCCCAGGGUGAGGCGACGUUGGUGAGUUGCUGAUUGUAGUUGAGAAGAUCGCAUUAGCUCUACGGUAGCUGGCUUUUCCCUUAGGGCUGAAGUGUCAUGUUGAACACUGGCUAGGCUUUCUUUCUUGUAGGUGUCUGGUAGCUAACACAAUGCAUUCCGUACACGGAGAGCAUCCUACAGUGCUUUUGAGCAUUGAUGCUUUUGUCACGUUCAGUGACAAGUAAUGGCCAAGGGGGCUAAUGAGGAAAGAGGUGGUUUCUCUGGGAAACAAGGUGGAGAUUUAAAACUUACUGCAUGAGCUCAGAGCUACAGGGGAGAAGUGCAAGAGCCAGCGGUAUGAGGUGAGGUGGAGGGAAGCAUUACAGAGAUAUCUAGAGAGCAGCUGAUGACUCUGCCCUCCCACGCUGUAAUCAGAUAUCUCAGCAUCUGGGGUGGGGGCAGCUUCUCUGCUGGAGCACAUGGGUCAGGCUCGUUCUCCUUUUAAUGUUAAGAAGAAUGAGUCUUUGUUGAGCUACGUCAUGGCCUCUCCUUGCCCAGCCAGCCACCCCAACACCUCACAGAGAAACCUCUUGCCUCUUGCCCAAUGUAAAGACCUGUCAUCGCCUGGAGUUAGUGCUCCUCAGAGAUGAUUGAGGAGUGAAUGAGAGGCAAGGAGAAAGGGCCAAAGGUAUUCAAGGAGCAGAAAUGUCUCAAGUUCUUUUAACAGACUGCUGAGAUGCCCAGAGAUGUGGUAGAUACCCCAUCCUUGGAGACAUCUAAGGUCAAGCUGGACCAGGCUCUGAGAACCCAGAUGGAGCUGUAGGUUUACGUGUCCAUUGCUGGGAGUGGGAUCAGAUGGCCUUUAAAGGUCCCUUCCAACUCAAACAAUUCCAUGAUUCUAUAAGACAAAUGCUGAUAACCACAGGUCUCUUACAUCCCUAAGGGUGGUGGGAUCUCAAAGUGGUUGUUGUGAAGUCAAGUGCCUUUGAAACACCAGAUUUCUCAAGAAUGGUGAUCUCCAGUCUACCACCUUCAAGACAGCAGUACAAAUGCCAGCCAUGCAUAACAGCCACCUCCUCGCCUUCUCCUAUGAAUACACCACUCACAUCUUGGUGGCGCCUCCAGGCUUCUUGUCACCACGCCAAGCUCCAUGCAGCAUUAACCUGCAGCACAUCGCACCAAAGCAGUUGGCAAUCCUGCUGCCCCUCUGGAAGCAGCAGUAAGGCUUCGGCACAGUAUUCAAAGGAAAGACUGUUGCAUGGGAAGUGGUAGGAAAGUAUCACUGCUUGCUCACAGUGUGCUUCUUUAGAAUGGAAAAAGAAGCUUAUCGUGAUAAAGGAGGCAAAACAGGACGUUGGGGUGCAGCUCUGCUGUCAGCUUGUCACACAAUGCUUCUCCAGGAUCCUGUGUUUGCUGCUGUAGUAGGGGAACGAUAAUUCCUUAUUUCUGUGAAGUUGUCAAGGAUUUGCCUGGUGUUGCCUUUGGGAUCCUGGGAUCAGAAAGACUUCUCAAUUCAAUCGUCAAGUUCUGAACUGGCAGUUGGGAUGGGAGCAGAGGGUUGAAUUGGGCCUAAUUCUGAUCCUAUUUACUGUGCAUUUUGGGAGUGGCUGCCUCAAAGACAGCAGUCACCCUGGAGCAAAAAAAACCCAACAGUUAAAGCAAAUUAGAAUUGUUAUCAAAGGAAGAGCGUGCACAGUGGGACAUGAGCUGAAGCUGAGCAGUGUUUUUACUUACAAGGACAAGGCUUUUUAACUGGGUGUUUCCUUCAUUUGUCAUCAUUAAGAAAAUGACAGUUGGAGUGAAAAUUAAAUACUCGGGGGAAAAGAAAACAAAACAACAUCACAAACCAGCAGCCCUUCAGCCGAUGAGUAGAUCUGCCCUGGUUAGUGCUACUACAGUGCAGCCCUUUCAGCCCUUUUGUCCCAAGGAGGGAAGGAAAUCAUCAGUGGAACAUCAAAGCUGAUGAGCAAACGAAAGGAUAAAAUCACUGAGAAGAAGAGGAGAGCCGUGAUCUCACCUGUCUGUAAUGAAAUUAAAGGCUUGUCCCCCCAGUGUUGCUCUGCGGGGUGUAAGCAGCGCUGGGAGUGAGGAUGCUCCAGUGCUGCUGCCAAAGAGUUAAUCACAACAUAAUCGUCUCCUUCUCUUUCCGAGAGGAGUUUCUCCGUGGCAGCCCGCAGGGCCGUUGGGUGAGAUGCGUGAUUGUGUGUUCUGGCAACCGCUUUGCAAUGUGAAAUAAACACCCUUCCCCAUAAUAGCCUUCAUUGAGCAUUGUGCCUGGGAACGCAUCGUGACACACGGCGGCACAGGGCCGGGGAGCUUCCUCCUUCCGCAGCCCAGCAAAAUAUUUAUACAGUGUCUUCGGGUAAACCAGUGCCUCCGUGCCGUGGGCUGAGCUGCUCACAAUGCCUGCCCCUACCCCGAGCCCGUCCUGAAAUAGCGAGCGCAUCCCGGCUCUGUUUAAUCUGUCAGCCAGAUGGAACCAGCCUCGCUUCCCUGUUAAAUUUACUUUUUAAAUUGCUAUAAUAGCCCUGCAGAGUUCUUGUUGCUUUAAGUAACUGGAACAGAACUUUAAAAACAUGGGCACAUUGAGCACCCGUCCUUGGGAUGCACGCUGUGGAGCCGAGAGGGGAACUGCAGGGCUGCAGAACAUCCAGCCUGGGGUCGUGGGUGCUCUGUGGUUAUUAGGCCUUGCAGUUGCUAAGGGGAAAGAAAAAAAAAGAGGCCUUUUCUUGAUCGUAGUACUUAAGAAUAAUGUUUUUCAAGUCUUGGUGCUGUAGAAAAAAUGUAUUUUGCUGUUGGAGGAAUGUCAGCUGCUUUGCAAAGAAUAGAAAUGCCUUUUUUUUCUUCCCCAUUGACCUUCAACCCCAUAAGGUCUCAAUGGCCAGGGAAAAUUAUGAUGGUUUCUGGCUCCUGACCAUUGCUGCUCACCAAAAGCUGUUCCACAGUGUCACAGUCAGCCAUGCAGACCACAGAACCAGUUGCAGCUAGAAAGCUUGUGCUCAAUGUAUAGAGGGCUGAUUGAAAAGAAGUGUGUUUCCAAGAAUUCUCUGUGUUUUGGUUUGUGCAAGGUCUAAAAUUUGAAGUAUGUUUCUCUUGCCCCACAUAGAUCUCAAAUAGUAAUUGUGGGUGGGGAAUUGCAACAUAUAUGGCUGGUUUUAGGGAGGGCAUGUGGAGAUCUGUUCUUGACCUUGUGACAGACAGGGUAUUUCUCAUUGAAGAGCAAAACCAACAAAUAAAACCUUAUUCUGCUGUUUAAUUUUAUUGAUGCAGUCUUUGGGCCCUGAAGCCAGACUGAGUUAGACUAGAAAACAGGAACAGAAUCUUAGCAGAGUAGUUGGUCAGUGGAGCAUCUUCACUGAGGACUGCUUUGUCUACCAUCAUUUGCAGCCUUUAAAUCAAAGCUGGUUUGGCUUUUUGCAAGGAUACUAAGGGUCAAAGUAAUGAUCUUGAUGCAGAUAUGUUGGAGUUCUCUGGCCUGUGCUGAGCAGUCAGUCAGAUUCCUUCCUUUAUCAUGCUGUUUUCCAAUCUUUAUAUUUGAGGGUCUCUGAAGACCACAUGAGAUCAUGGCAUCACCUUUUGAAAACCAAACUUGCAAUCUUCCUGGAAACACUCAUUCCAAAGAAAUCAAAGACCUUAAAUGUGAUGCAAUCAUUUUCCUGAAACGAUCUCUCUGUAGUAGCAUUUAUGUUUUCUGCUGUUUUGUCUAGAACUAAGAAUAGGAAUUCCCAAAACAAACUCUGCACUUACUGCACACCAGUUCAUCACUGUUGGGAUAGCCCACGUAGCCUCCGCUGGUCGCAGUGUUUGGUUUGUGAGCUGUUCAGAGCCUAACUGUGAAGACAAACAAGUUCUUGUGGAAUUAUCACGCAGUUAGUGUGUUUUUAAUUUAACACUUUUGCAUCCAAGCUUGAGCUCAUAGAACUCCCUCCUUCUUGGAUGUUUUGUUUUCUUUUUUUCCCGAAGCCCUCUUCUUAAACCUUCAGGUUUGGUUCUAAGAACACCACUUCACUUUUGCUGUAGGAAGGAACAAUAUCUUCCAAUGUGACUUUUAGGAAAGGGAAGAAAGAAAGUAUGCUUCUCUCUUGUCAACAGCGCAGUCAUACCGCUCAUCUACCCAAGCAUCUUCUCCAUAACAAGAGCAGGGCCAUAUUUUUAUGUAUCUCCUCCCACACGGUCCUGUUGUUCGUGAAUGAAGGCAGAAAACUGAAAAAGGCAAAUCUUGCAAGGCACAAAGCCAAAGUCAGUGUUUCAGGUUCCCCAGAAGGGCUCCUACCCAGAUGGCCAAUGAGUUGCUUGGGGCAGAUCUUCAAUGAAGAAAGGCUGAGGAAUGGGCUGUGUCUGUAGGUGUGCACUGAGGUUCUUGAUGGAAGCUGCAGCCGGAGAGCAGAGGAGUGAGGCUCCUGGGUGGCCCAUGGCCAACAGCAAGGUGCUGGAGGAAACCUAAGCUCUUGUCCUCUCAUGACUCACUCUUGCAAACGUUGCAGCGCUGUUGACCUGCACUGGGGCUGCAGUGGCUGAUGGCUUGACCGGAUGUUUCUGACGAUGUCACCUGCUCUAUUUAAAGCUGUGAACUCUUCCUCCAGCCCUGACCUCACUGUUGGCUACGUUAACAAGAGAUCUCCCUAAUGAGAUGUGACUGGAGCCAUCUGUUUGGGGGCAAGCAGAAACCUCACCCGUCACCUUUUUCUGAACCUGUCCCCCACCGUUUUAUGCCUGUACUGCUAUAAUUGACCUGCUCUGUUGCCUGCUGCCUAAAGCUUGCAGAGAUAGUAGCCGUAAAACAGACCCGCAUCAGCAGACGAAGAUCAAGGCCUGUAGCUAUUCUUUCCUGCCUACUAAUGCUGGGCACAAAGCAGGAAUGCUGGCCCUUCAAUAACGUGUUGUUUCUUCUUUUUCUUCUUCUUUUAAAACCAAACCAAAACAAAUAACCUUUUCCUAGAAAGUCUGGAGGCAAUUCCAGACGUGCCUGAUCUACAAACAUUGCAUGGCACAUUGAGGCGGAGGCAGAGGCAGAAGUCUCAUUACAAUGCUUGGUGCUUCGGAAUGGGACAGUUCUAAUACAUGUUUCCAUGGGCCCAGUAAAAACAAAUUGCCAUACAUAAUUUAAACUACCUUUAGGUAAAGAUGGAGGUAACCAUGGCUAUCUUUCAGCAGCCCUCUAUCCAAAAAGCUGCUGCUUAGAGGCUCAGUGGUAUGCUACGUAGGUGAAAUUUUGCAAGACGUUCUUGCUGCUCUUCUUCCACCAGGAGAACCCAUUGCAACCGUGGUGUGAGGCUGACUGGGUCUGACCAAAGUGUCUGACAAACACCAGGGUAUCAGCACUGCCACAGACUUCUAUUGCUAUUUCUCAUGAUGAUGUGGCAUAGCCAGGAGGAAAGAAGGAUGUUGGCUGGAUAUCCAUUUUGCCAACCAUCAUGAACCUUGCUUUUAUUUUUACUUUUGUUUGUUUUAAGCAGACGCUUGAUCUAAAGUUUAGACAUGGAGCCUGCUGUGAUCUUUGACAGAGAAUUUCUUGCUGACACUAAAAUAAUGAGGGCUUUUUGUGACCUCUGUGCAGCUUAGCCUAUAGGAGAUUUCAUCUUGGGUACAGUUUUUGAGGAAUUCUUUCUCCUGAGGCUUUACAAGGCAGAAGGUUUUUGGAUUAGUAGCUGAGGUGGUUCUUGGAUCUAGACUCUCUAUGUGUUUAAGAUCUGUUGCUUUAAUUUCUUAGAGAAAGGUGACCUGCUUUAUAGAAAAAACCACAACACAAACCAACCUAACAAAAAACAAACAACAUCAGGGUGGAAGUGUUAAUGAGAAUCCUUAUCCUUUCUUUUCUUGCCAAAGACAAUUCUUUUACAAAUAUCAUCAAACAAACAUUUUGAAGCCUAUGAGGUUUCUCUUGAGCCCUGUACUAAGCAGAAGGAAUAUUAUCUCAGAUUUCCUGUCUGUGCUAUGGAUAUAUCAACCUUCUUCGGUAGGGAUGUGAGACCAAGCUCUGAAAAAUGUUUAUAUGCAUUGAAAUCAGUAAUAUUUGACCUCCAUAGCAUUUCCUUAAUGCCAUUCCAACUCAGAGCUCAGCUGAAAAGUGCUAAGAGAUGUUUUAAAGGUGUCUGUGGCCGCCAGUGUGAGCUCAUUUCUAAUUAAACAGAAGCCACACUUUAUUUCAUUAGAAGCACGAUAAUAAAUGUACACACAAUUGGCUGAUUCUCAAUUAAUUAGCUAUUAGAAGCAAAUUCCGUAAGGUCUAUUAGGAUUAGAAAGUGGAACUUGGUGUCACUGAAGCAUUCUCAUUCUCCUGAUCUGCAUUAAGAUGUCAUUUUGCUUAUGGCUCUGAUGUGCUAUGGGUAAUUUCUGCAGGCUCUGGAUGUGAGGACAGGAUGUCCAUGUUCUGUAGGAAUGGUGGUGAAAGGUGUGCAGAAGUUCCAUUUCCCUUUGGCCUGAACUCCUCCAGGUAUGGAGUAUCUACAACUUCUUUGGAACAGGUUGCUUGUAGAAGUGUAGAUGCUCCAUCCUUGGAGGCUUUCAAAGCCAGGUUGGGCAGGGCCCUGGGCAGCCUGAUCUGCUGGGGGCAACCAGCCCACAGCAUGGAGUUACACCUGGAUGAUCUCGAAGGUCCUUCCCAACCUAAGCCAUUCUAUAAUGCUGUGGUAUGGAGUAAGCUAUGAAACUUCCCAUCUGCUUUUCACAAAAAUGGGGACUCUCAGCAUUCCCACUCAACCCACCAGUUCCAUCUGCAACUACUUUCAUCAGACAGGUUUCAGUGGCCACUUAAAUACUAAUAAAAUUCACCAAAAAAUGACUUGCUUCCCAUGGAUGCCGAGGUAUACUCAGAUAGCCAGGAUUUUUUGUGGGUUUUUUCCCUAAAACUUCAAUCAAUCCUCUUCAAAAUUUGACACAUUUUUUUUUUUUUCAUUACAAAUUGACUUUUAAAGCCAAGAAUGCCCCCUGUAUCGAAGACAUGGAACAGCUUCCCGUGCCCAGUCCACCCCAGCCACAGCAGCCCAUUGGAAGCCUAUUGGAAAUAGUGGUGCAGAGUAAAUGUUUGGUCCAGCUGUAUCCUUUGUGGGAGUUUUUUAGGAAUUUUUGAUUGAUGUUUUAUUCAAAGGUGAUCUAAAAGAAUGGAGGCUCUGUGGUGUAGAGGAGAUGUGGAAAGCCCUGCUCUGUUUGUUUUCCUGCAGGGUGGGCUGGUGCUGCGGGUUCCUGAGGAACAGGUUGAGGAGGAAAAAACAGGAAUAGGUGGAUGCAGUGCCAAUGGGGUCCCUACCUAAAUAUUUGCGUUCAUCCGCAAGAAGCAUCUGUUAAUAGGAGGUCAGUCACCUGGAAACUUACCCAAAGCCAUUCUGCUUCUCAUUAAGUACUGGCUCGUUUCACUUGCACAAGGUAUAUUUUUGUAUGUGCAUACAGGGUCAUUUUGUGAUGACAAGGAAGGAAGCAAACAGUGUCCAGACUUCAUUUUUUUCUUCCUAUAAAGCUACCAGCAUCCCCUCCAAACUCAGUCACCUUUUUUUUCAUUCUUUCCCAUUAAACAAAUUUAUAUCUUGAUUUAGAAUUAUUCCUCUUUUCUGACACUUGGCUUGCCCUUUCCCAUCAGUAUGAGAGCUCAGAAGGUGACGUUCCCCCAAGCCUCCCUGCCUGGGUGUGAAGAGCAUCAGGGUCUGCCAGUGGUGAUGCAUCCUCACAGUGUGCAGUGUGGGGUCACUGAUGUACAUCAACGUGUGAACACAGAGCUCUUUCCUGAUUUUUCUGGUCUGGGGGCUGUGGACGGAAGCGGUGAUUCUCUGCAUCCUGCUUUUGCAUCAUCCUUACUCUGAGAAUUAAUAAUGCAUGUGGAUAUCUGUAUUAUCUUUGUAUCCUUAUUACAUCGCUUAGGAAGCUGGUUAACUCAAUGCUUUGCUUCCAGGGCUGGAACCCUCCGAGUAGAGAGAAGGCAGUUGGGCAAGAGCAGCAGGGGAAGACAAACCUCCUGUCAACAGAGUGUGGGAAUUUCAGGCUGUGGUUUCUCAAAAGGGUCUGUGAGAUCUGUAAUGAUGGGUCCUCAGAUUUCAGUCAGAUUUCAAUCACAGACGGUCAUCAGCCAUGUAACCUGGGGUGAUGCUGUUGGGUAGGGCAGCCAGGAUGGGCUCUGCUUGGGUUUCCCUGUGGGUCUCCCAGCAAAGUCCUGACUCUUUCCAGUCCUGCUGAAGCAAUUGAGACCUGGUGAGGACCUGAAGGCAGAAAAAGGAGCUUCCUUUCUGGGGGAGGAGGAGGAAGCUGCUUUCCUCCAGAUGUGAGCCUCUGGGGAAGCUGCAGACCAAGGAGCUCAUCCUGGGUAGCAUGGAGGUAGUGCUCCCUCUGGGUGGUGUGAGAGAUGGAUCUGUGUCAAUGGAGCUCCUCCUGGACUUAGAAAAGCGACAGCAGGACCCUGCCAUGUAAAAAAUGAAAUUCUUUGGCUCAGCCCAAUGCGUGGUGUGCACAGGGCUGUAACCCAAUCCCGUCGCUGGAGCCAAGCAUCCAGGGCAGGUGGCCGGCUGCUGGCUGUGUCCCCUCGCUGGGACGUGGUGCAGGGCUCUGUGCUGCAGGAUGACAGGGCUGAGCACACGGCUGUGGCAGGACAGGGACCAGCUCCCACCUCUCGAAGCCAUUGCUGGAGGACAUCUCACUCCCCUGGGGACGGAGGUGCAGGUCAGUUUUAUUACCCCAGGACUACUCCAAGGCUUUGAGUAUCCAAGGGAUGAGAUAUGCUCUAAUUUACUCGAUUUUACUGUAUUUUUGGUAGGGCUGUUGAUGAUCGUUGUGGUCCUUUUCAACGCAGGCCAUUCUGUGAUUCUAUGAUACUGCAUUGUAUUGGGCAGAAAUUCAUCAGGCUUUCUGCUUUCUUUGUGCCUGGGCAUUUUCAGGACUUCUCCAUAUCUCAUAUAUGCUCUUCCCAUUCCCCUCCUGCUUGCAGCUCCCUGGGCAAUGGCUUAGCAAAGGACUGGGCCAGCAACGAGCAGCUCAGCAUUGAUCCUCUAUCAGCAUGCUGCUCCUAAAGCCAAAGCAAUGGCAAACUCCAUGGCAGCAGUACUUUAUCAGUACUUUAUCAGCCUGAUCCCUCUCUUCUGUACACGGGGAGAAAAGAAUAAAUCAGCAAGCUGAGAGGGUGGAACUUUGCAAUCUUUCCAUGGUUUUUUUGGGGGGAGCUUUCUGCUGAGUGUGCAUUGGUUUUGCUGAACAAUGGGGUGAGCAGAGCCAUUGGUUGUCCCUGCGAGGAGCUCUGCAUAUUGUGGCCUGCAUGCUUUUGGCUUAUUUCAACAUUGUGCAUGUCAAAUGUGAUACUCCAGAUUUUCCUGGCUGCCUUUCAAACGCCUCUCACCUUUACAAGGGACUGGCAUUAAACCGUGCAAGGAUGCAGCCCUGCGUGUGUUCGAAGAGUUCGCUAAAGCCCUGUGAGUUUACUUUGUUUUCCCAGAAAAGGAAAUGACAAAAACGCAGAGAUAUUUAAUGACUUCAAGUGCAAAUGAGAAAACAUUAAAAGGAAAAAAUAUAUAUAUCUAAAAAAGUCAAUGUGUACGGGCUAGCCAAAGCCAAGCAGGAACAUCAUAGCAUUGCAGCUGGCAUGGAGCAUCAAUGGGUUGAUGGUUGGACUUGAUGAUCUUAGAAGACUUUUCCACCCAUAAUUAUGAUUGAUUCUGUGAUUCUGUAAUUCCAUGACAAUUCUAUGAUUCUAAGAUCUGAGGGCGCUGUGUGCAGCUCGGUUCUGCUGUCCCAUGGACACACAGUUGGAAGAAGAACACUCAGUUCUGCAGACCUCCAAAGGGCAGGAAAUUGAAACUCCUGUGUGUAACCAUGUAUAAGUGGUGGGAAAAAAAAGAAAUAAAUAGGUCAGUGGCAAAAAGGGCACUAAAAAGGGUGUACGUAUAUGGCAGCACUGAAAGAACAGUGAACCCAAACCAGCGAAACCUCAGCAGUUGUUUUGUCAGCUUGCUCGAGCUGUGCAUUGUUACUCUCUUUGAGGUCUAUGCACAGAGAGAUGCAAAUGCAUUCUGGAGCGGAUGCUUUGCAUCUCCAAUUUGCAUAGUCAGCUCUGUGCAAAGACAGGGGGCCUUACCAUGGCCUUGGAGUAGAGCAGUUCUGCACAGGGAUAGGUAGCAAUGCAGCUCCAACUUGCAGGGAGAGGUGUGUUUGCAUACAGAGGUUUUUUGUAGCAUUUCUACCCCUUGCUUGUGUAUUCAAAGCAAACUGGGAGCAUUUUGCAGUGUCAACUUGAAAGAUGACUUUGUCGUCUUGGCGAGGUGAUACAGUGAUCUUGGAGGCUACUUGAAUUUGAUUUUGCUGAGGUUUUAUUGCGUUUUGCUUAAUUGCUUCUGUUUUAUUGUUAAUGAGACAAAGAGCAGUUUGUAGAAUAGCUUGAGGAGUAAAAUUAUCCAGGAGCAGAGAUGAAAUGUGAAUGUUAGAAGUUGCCUUCCAUUGUCUGUGCUGUCUUUAAACUCCUCAUUUGGUUUUGUUCAGUCCUGCAAACCUGGAGGCGACAUCACUGCCCCAUCUGUGUCCUGCAAGGACAUCCUUGGGGCAAACCCUGCACCUGGCUGCAGGGUGAGUUCCCCAUGGGGAGGAUGGGCCAUGGUCCAUGCUCUCUCUUGGUCAGACACCCCUGCAGUCCAGUUUAUUACUUUCUCCAGUCUGAAAAGAGCAGACUUGCAACCUUCUUGCAGAGCUUUCAGCGUACCCUUAAGAAGCAGAACCAUACAGGAGUGAUGUAGUCUGGUGUGGGGUCCAAACCUUGGGUGGCAAAAAUCUGUGGAUGUAAAACACUGAGGAAUAUUCUGCAAUAGGGAUUAAUCUUAUAAUUACACGCAGCUACAGUUCAUUGCUGGUGGGAUAAACCCAGUCCUGCCAGGUGGGCAGCCAGGAGCCAGGACCUGGGACUCCCAGUGCAUCACUGUAGGGUGAAAUGAACACUGUUGGGAUGAGCUUGCUUUCAUUUUGGUCAUUGCUAUAGGGUCCAUUUUUUGCACUGACUGCUAAAAUCACUGCUGCGUAAUGUGGAUGCAGACAAUGUGCUCUGCCUGCAGCACUGGGCUCUGGGGUGGGGGGGUGCAUUUGCAUGGGACUUCACAAGAUCUGUGCAGUAAUGAGCAAAAUGAGUCUGGUCUCCUACGCAUGCAAAGCAACAGCUUUGUGACCUGGGCUCUAUCUGACUGCUGCAGCUCUGAGGCUACAAUUAUAUCCGUAAACAGAUGAAGCCAGGGUCAAUCUUUUGACCCCAAGGACCAAUGGCAUGGGGACAUGUUGCUCCAUGGGGGUGUCCAGGCUUUGCGUGCGGUCUUGCAGAAGGGCAACCUUUGCCUUGAAGCGCCAUUUCACUUCUCACCUGCUGAAAUUACCUGGGGCACACAGUGUACCUGGGUUUUGCUUUUACAUUUCCAUUACCCACCAGCUAGCUGGUUGGAUUUAGCACAAAUGGAGAAGUGAGUGGGCAGCAAGAUUGCUGAGCCAUGGCUCUGUGCAUCCAGGGCAGGAAGGAGAGGCAGUUCAUCGAUAAGUCAGGGGAGGGUCAAGGGAAACCAUUUUCAGCUCUACAAAGCUCGCUGGCCAGGAGACCAGGGGCUGUGGGAUUGACUCAGACCUCAUUCCCCACUGAUUCACCCUGCAAUUAUGAGAUUGAGCAGAAAUCGUAAACUCCAUCUGAACUGUAGUUGUCCUUUUCUUUUCUUUUCUUUUCUUUUUUUUUUUUUUUCCCCCACUCCUGUGGUUUGAAACUAUGUAGAAACGUUUUGGAAGGUUUCUCAAUGCAUGAGUUUAACCCUAAGUCUCAGCAGGGGAAGGUAUUAUCAGGGAAAGGCAAUUACUGCUUUAGCUGGAUGCAAGUCACAUUACCUUUGGAAAGAACCACCCUCUCGCCAAUAGCUGGCUUCCCAUUCAGGGUUUGGCAGGUCUGGAGCACUGAAUUCGGAUGAAUUUUGAAGGAAUCAUUACACAGCAGUAGUUUCGAAAUAUUAGCUCACUAAUGACUUCUUUGCACCGAUGAGUGCGUGAGAAGUGAAAGCAGCAGAGAUUGUUACAAUCCUCGGGAGGGACGUGAUGGUGAUGCACGUAAUCCCACUUAGCAGUCACCAGUGCUGAAUGGCUCUUAAGGGUCAUCUUAAAAAUUGGGAAAAAAACUCCAUUUUCUUGAGUUUUGUGUGCGAGAAAACAGGAUUAGGUACAUUACGAAUGCAAAAAAAAGCCCCUUCUGGGAUAUAUGAGUGGUGUGUUGGCAUUACCUUCCUGUCUGCAGGAACUCAACUUCAAAUCUCAGUUGUCCUUAAUGAUGGAAGUGGCGUUACUGCAGUCUCCUGCUCCCAAGCAUGUGUUUGUGGUGAGAUGGAGCAGCCGUGGGCUGCCCACUGCUCUGCCCAGAGGUCAGCAGUGUGUGGGGCAGAGCUGUGUGCUCUGGGGUAGCACAACCCUGUCUUGCCUUCUGCAUCUGUGGGACCAGGAGGAAGGGAGCUCUCAGACGGUGUUUUCCUUACCUGGGUUUGUGGGGCAGAAAGCCUCUCUCCAUGCUGCCCAUUUUCCAGUGGUGGUGCUCACUAGCUGCAUUAAUGAACUCUGUUUCAAUUUGGAUGCGGUAGCGGAAAAAAGAAAAACUGUUUUAAGCUAUGGAAGUCAUCAUUUGUGCAUGCCCUGGGGGCAAAGCGCACAGCUGUUUUCCUGCUGGUACAGGUGCCCAUGCCUGCCCAGGUUGGUAAGAAGGGGAACUGCUGAAGCCAUGUGGGUUAGGAGCAAAAGUGAACCAAUACAGCAUUCAAUCCUUGAGUUUUUAAUGAGCAGACAAAGUCUCCUGGAGGUCUCCCCGUCUGUUUCUAGUUACGAGGAUACUUUAUCUCUGCAGGUCUCUCCCUUCCCGUAGUAUCCGAGGGCCUCACGGACACUCAUGGAUGACUCACAUCACAUCUGCAAAAUAGGGAAGUAUCCCCAUUUUAGAAGCGGGGACUAAUGCGGGUUGUAGAUGUAUGACUUGCCCAGUUUCACACAGGAAACAUGUAACUGAAGUGGGAAUUGAGCCCAAGUCACAUGAGUUGAGCCCUGGAUUGCUGUCUGCCCUUGGCGAGCCCAAAGCAGCUCAGCAGAUGUUGUAUGUGUGGAAUUGGUUUGAGAAGCAGGCGCAUUCAUCCAGAGGUUGUAGCUGUAAAUGUGAAGCUGCUGCUGCAUGCGGCGGGGUCAGGAUAAGGUGGGAAACCCAGCAAUGAGCUGGAGGUGAGGUGAGAGGAGAGGGGGCUGAAGAUGGAGCCCAGCCCGUGGGGGAUGUGCACUUAUGGAUACCCUCAUGCUGUCCCCGAGGAGCACAUUUGCUUUAUACAGAGCCUGUUUGCAUUAAUCCCUGCUGGACGUGCCUUUCUGCAGCAGUGCUUAUACGCAUCUGCUCUACUUCGCUUGCAUCUAGUGAGCAUGUCCCCUUUCUUCUGUUAGUGUUUCCUUUGUCUGCUAUGAUGAGUGUCACUGAGCACGUCACUGGGACUCACAUCUGGAUAAACUGUGGCUUGUGGAAGUGCUGGUGGGUGCAGUCCCUUCAUCAGUCCUGGGUAUUAGCAAGAAACAUGUGUGACUUUCCUCUUGGUACAUGGAGCUCAGCAUUGGGUCUGUCCAACUGGUGGCUCUUCAGCCAUAAAGCGUGACUCUGAAGGUGGAAGCAGAGCCCUGGUCUUGCUCUCUUCUCUUCUGUUCCGUGCAGAUACUGAUGCUCUAUGAGUGGUUUGAGUUGUGCUGAGCCAUGGUUGGGUUUUAGGAUGCAAAGCCCCAGGGGAGGAGAAAUUUCAGCCUUCUCCCAGACAAACAAGGGUUCAUUGCACUAUGGUUUGUGGUAGCUGCAGGUCUUCAGCGGUGC
rnacentral:lncRNA from 1 species